rnacentral:rRNA from 1 species
GAUGAACGCUGGCGGCGUGCCUAAUACAUGCAAGUCGAGCGAACAGACGAGGAGCUUGCUCCUCUGACGUUAGCGGCGGACGGGUGAGUAACACGUGGAUAACCUACCUAUACGACUGGGAUAACUUCGGGAAACCGGAGCUAAUACCGGAUAAUAUAUUGAACCGCAUGGUUCAAUAGUGAAAGACGGUUUUGCUGUCACUUAUAGAUGGAUCCGCGCCGCAUUAACUAGUUGGUAAGGUAACGGCUUACCAAGGCAACGAUGCGUAGCCGACCUGAGAGGGUGAUCGGCCACACUGGAACUGAGACACGGUCCAGACUCCUACGGGAGGCAGCAGUAGGGAAUCUUCCGCAAUGGGCGAAAGCCUGACGGAGCAACGCCGCGUGAGUGAUGAAGGUCUUCGGAUCGUAAAACUCUGUUAUUAGGGAAGAACAAAUGUGUAAGUAACUAUGCACGUCUUGACGGUACCUAAUCAGAAAGCCACGGCUAACUACGUG